UUUUAGAGUUAGGGUUAGGGGAAAGAAGUGAAAAAUGAAGAAAUUGGGAGGGGUGGGGCGAAAAUUUCAAAAUGCCGGUUUUUGGCAAUUUUCCGGAAUCUCCGUAUCUGAAAACGGGGGUUUUGGACA